CCUACGGGUGGCAGCAGUAGGGAAUAUUGCACAAUGGGCGCAAGCCUGAUGCAGCCAUGCCGCGUGUGUGAAGAAGGCCUUCGGGUUGUAAAGCACUUUCAGCGGGGAGGAAGGCGGUGAGGUUAAUAACCUCAUCGAUUGACGUUACCCGCAGAAGAAGCGCCGGCUAACUCCGUGCCAGCAGCCGCGGUAAUACGGAGGGUGCAAGCGUUAAUCGGAAUUACUGGGCGUAAAGCGCACGCAGGCGGUCUGUCAAGUCGGAUGUGAAAUCCCCGGGCUCAACCUGGGAACUGCAUUCGAAACUGGCAGGCUAGAGUCUUGUAGAGGGGGGUAGAAUUCCAGGUGUAGCGGUGAAAUGCGUAGAGAUCUGGAGGAAUACCGGUGGCGAAGGCGGCCCCCUGGACAAAGACUGACGCUCAGGUGCGAAAGCGUGGGGAGCAAACAGGAUUAGAUACCCUAGUAGUC
rnacentral:rRNA from 1 species